UACGUAGGUGGCAAGCGUUAUCCGGAUUUAUUGGGUGUAAAGGGCGUGUAGGCGGGAGCGCAAGUCAGAUGUGAAAACUCAGGGCUCAACCCUGAGCCUGCAUUUGAAACUGUGUUUCUUGAGUGCUGGAGAGGCAAUCGGAAUUCCGUGUGUAGCGGUGAAAUGCGUAGAUAUACGGAGGAACACCAGUGGCGAAGGCGGAUUGCUGGACAGUAACUGACGUUGAGGCACGAAAGCGUGGGGAGCAAACAGG
rnacentral:rRNA from 1 species